rnacentral:rRNA from 1 species
GGGCAACGAGCUCUUAACACAUCGCAAUGUGCUGAUGCGGAGGGAGGGGGCUUGGCACCUACGGCCUACCAAGGCGACGAUGCGUAGCCGACCUGAGAGGGUGAUCGGCCACACUGGGACUGAGACACGGCCCAGACUCCUACGGGAGGCAGCAGUAGGGAAUCUUCCGCAAUGGACGAAAGUCUGACGGAGCAAUGCCGCGUGAGUGACGAAGGUUUUCGGAUCGUAAAACUCUGUUGUAAGGGAAGAACAAGUACCAAGUAACUACUGGUACCUUGACGGUACCUUACCAGAAAGCCACGGCUAACUACGUGCCAGCAGCCGCGGUAAUACGUAGGUGGCAAGCGUUGUCCGGAAUUAUUGGGCGUAAAGCGCGCGCAGGCGGUCCCUUAAGUCUGAUGUGAAAGCCCACGGCUCAACCGUGGAGGGUCAUUGGAAACUGGGGGACUUGAGUGCAGAAGAGGAAAGUGGAAUUCCAUGUGUAGCGGUGAAAUGCGUAGAGAUGUGGAGGAACACCAGUGGCGAAGGCGACUUUCUGGUCUGUAACUGACGCUGAGGCGCGAAAGCGUGGGGAGCAAACAGGAUUAGAUACCCUGGUAGUCCACGCCGUAAACGAUGAGUGCUAAGUGUUAGGGGUUUCCGCCGCUUAGUGCUGCAGCUAACGCAUUAAGCACUCCGCCUGGGGGAGUACGGCCGCAAGGCUGAAACUCAAGGAUUUGACGGGGGCCCGCACAAGCGGUGGAGCAUGUGGUUUUAAUUCGAACCACGCGAAGAACCUUACCAGGUUCUUGACAUCCCGCUGACCGGCUAAGGAGACUAGGCUUUCCCUUCGGGGACAGCGGUGACAGGUGGUGCAUGGUUGUCGUCAGCUCGUGUCGUGAGAUGUUGGGUUAAGUCCCGCAACGAGCGCAACCCUUGAUCUUAGUUGCCAGCAUUCAGUUGGGCACUCUAAGGUGACUGCCGGUGACAAACCGGAGGAAGGUGGGGAUGACGUCAAAUCAUCAUGCCCCUUAUGACCUGGGCUACACACGUGCUACAAUGGACGGUACAAAGGGCUGCAAACCCGCGAGGGGGAGCCAAUCCCAGAAAACCGUUCUCAGUUCGGAUUGCAGGCUGCAACUCGCCUGCAUGAAGCCGGAAUCGCUAGUAAUCGUGGAUCAGCAUGCCACGGUGAAUACGUUCCCGGGCCUUGUACACACCGCCCGUCACACCACGAGAGUUUGUAACACCCGACGUCGGUGAGGUAACCACUUGCGGAGCCAGCCCCCGACGGUGGGCCAGAUGCUUGGGGUGACGCCCCCCCCCGGAAACGGGGGCCCACUAGUCCGUCCGCUUGCUAGACCAACGACU